CACUUUGAGUGCAUAUUCUAUAGUCUUUCAUCAAUAAUUCACUCUUUUUUUUUUCAAAUUACAAACUAUACAAUUUCAAUUCAGAGUUUCAGCAAUGUCAUCAGUUUCUUCUUUCAAUAUUGGUCUUUUCCUCGCGCUAUGGCUCCUCCUAAUAGCGGGUGGAUUUUGGAGAGUUGAAAGCUCAAGAAGUUUAAUAUCACCACGUUGUACGAAACCAACAGAUUGUAUACCAAAUUGCCCUCAUUGCAUACAUGUUUCAUGCCUCAGUACUUGGUGCGUUUGUGGCUGCGGCCCUCCAUCAACAUAAUGUUUAAUAAAAUCAUAACAAGCAUUAUUUCCCAAAUAAAAAUGAUUCAAUUUUUCACAUCUUCUCAUCUCGAUCUUUUUAAGUCGAGGAAUCAUAUAUAUGUAUGUAUGUAUGUUGGUGAACAUUGAAUCUUUAAUUUGAAACUUUUUACAUGUGAUGUUUGUUACGUAAUAUAAUUAUUCGCCCUAAUAAUAUAAGUGAAGAUACUCGUCUUAUGCAUUUUUUUU